GAAUGAAGCAGACCAUUGUAAGGAUGUCUCUGAAAUCUAACUCAGGAGCUGACCUCAAUGACCCGGUGGUAAAGGAACAGAUGUUGGAGCAGAUCAGAAAGGAGUUGACUAAGAACGGGAACUUCAUCCAAGGCUUAAGCUGGAGAGAACUGCCCAAUGGGGAUGUUUUUCGCAAAACAGUUGAACUUGGAAGCCCUGAAGAAUGUCACUGUGGGUCUGGAUGAAGAGGACCAGCCAUGAUGAUGCAACAGGAGAGGGAUAGAAGGUCCAAGAAAACCACAUGAUUAUAUACCUUAUAACACAUCAUACAAUUUUAUUUUAGUCAUUGCUUUUCAAGUUAUGAAAUAUAUGAGGAUUAGGAUAGAUUGACUUUACAAUAUUUUACUAAUGUAACAUCGAAUUAUA